GACGAACGCUGGCGGCGUGCCUAAUACAUGCAAGUCGAACGCACUCGCGCUUUGCUUGAAGUAGUCUGCUCCUUAUCGAACGGGUUAUUAGUGCGUGGCUGACCUGUCAGUAAGAGGUGGGUAACCUCCCCUAACGGGUGGUAAAACCGUUUGAGACUUCUACCCAUACGGCUUAAAACCUAAAACCGCCGGGCGUUGGUUCGAAAGAUUGUAUCGGCUAUCCCUUUAGUAUGGACCCGCGGUGCGUUAGUUAGAUGGCGAGGUAAAGGCUCACCAAGGCCGUGAUGCAUAGCCGACCUGAGAGGGUUGUCGGCCACACUGGGACUGGGACACGGCCCAGACUCCUACGGGAGGCAGCAGUAGGGAAUCUUCCACAAUGGACGAAAGUCUGAUGGAGCAACGCCGCGUGAGUGAAGAAGGUUUUCGGAUCGUAAAACUCUGUUGUUGGAGAAGAAUGUAUCUGAUAGUAACUGAUCAGGUAGUGACGGUAUCCAACCAGAAAGCCACGGCUAACUACGUG
rnacentral:rRNA from 1 species